AGCGAACGCUGGCGGCAGGCUUAACACAUGCAAGUCGAGCGGACCUUUCGGGGUCAGCGGCGGACGGGUGAGUAACGCGUGGGAACGUGCCUUCCGGUUCGGAAUAACCCUGGGAAACUAGGGCUAAUACCGGAUACGCCCUUAUGGGGAAAGGUUUACUGCCGGAAGAUCGGCCCGCGUCUGAUUAACUAGUUGGUGGGGUAACGGCCUACCAAGGCGACGAUCAGUAGCUGGUCUGAGAGGAUGAUCAGCCACACUGGGACUGAGACACGGCCCAGACUCCUACGGGAGGCAGCAGUGGGGAAUAUUGGACAAUGGACGCAAGCCUGAUCCAGCCAUGCCGCGUGAGUGAUGAAGGCCUUAGGGUUGUAAAGCUCUUUUAUCCGGGACGAUAAUGACGGUACCGGAGGAAUAAGCCCCGGCUAACUUCGUGCCAGCAGCCGCGGUAAUACGAAGGGGGCUAGCGUUGCUCGGAAUCACUGGGCGUAAAGGGCGCGUAGGCGGCGUUUUAAGUCGGGGGUGAAAGCCUGUGGCUCAACCACAGAAUGGCCUUCGAUACUGGGACGCUUGAGUAUGGUAGAGGUUGGUGGAACUGCGAGUGUAGAGGUGAAAUUCGUAGAUAUUCGCAAGAACACCGGUGGCGAAGGCGGCCAACUGGACCAUUACUGACGCUGAGGCGCGAAAGCGUGGGGAGCAAACAGG
rnacentral:rRNA from 1 species